UCUGUUUUUCCUUGUUUCAAUAAAUUUCAAUUGCACAUGUUACAUUCAGGUAUAGAUCAUAUUGUAACGUGUGCAAAGUAAAACAAUAUUUUUUGUUUUAUUAUUCACUUGUAUAAUAAAUUAUGAAAUUUGUACUUAAAAUGCAUUUGUACUUAUAAUUGACUUAUUUCAGAUUGACUAUUUUGUUCUUUUGAUGCCGACUGGAAAAACUAAGGAAACAAUACCUGUAGGAAAAUUACUAGCUAAAAUAUUCUCAAAUUCACUUGCAAGAAUUGUUAAUUAUUCAGGUUCUGGGUCUGUAAAAAUAAAACUCCAAGACACGAACAUUCUCACAGCUAUUCAAUGUGCUAUUGUUAAAAAGAUUCCGUCGUGUAAUAUUACACAUGUUCAAU